rnacentral:lncRNA from 1 species
UCAAAUUUAAAUUUAAAAAAUAUCAAAUAUCAAAUUUUAAAUUUAAAAAAUUUAAAAUAUCAAAUUUUAAAAUUUAGUUUAAAAUUAUAAACUUUAAUUUUGAGAUUACAAACUAUAAAUUUUAAAUUUAAUUUUUAAAUUUUAAAAUUUUAAAAUAAGAAUCGGGGUGGGAAUAAAUAAUAAAAAUAACUUAUUAUAAUAUGUACAAUUAAUAAUUUUAUAAUAAAAAUAAUAUAUUAUAAUAUAUAACAUAUUAUAUUUAUAUAAUUUAAUUUUAAUUCAAUUAUAAUUUUAAUAAAGUUUGAAAUUAAACAUUGGAAUAGCACUAUUAAUUCCACCAAAAUAGUGGAAUAGUAAAUCUCC